rnacentral:rRNA from 1 species
GAUGAACGCUGGCGGCGUGCCUAAUACAUGCAAGUCGAGCGAACGGACGAGAAGCUUGCUUCUCUGAUGUUAGCGGCGGACGGGUGAGUAACACGUGGAUAACCUACCUAUAAGACUGGGAUAACUUCGGGGAACCGGAGCUAAUACCGGAUAAUAUUUUGAACCGCAUGGUUCAAAAGUGAAAGACGGUCUUGCUGUCACUUAUAGAUGGAUCCGCGCUGCAUUAGCUAGUUGGUAAGGUAACGGCUUACCAAGGCAACGAUGCAUAGCCGACCUGAGAGGGUGAUCGGCCACACUGGAACUGAGACACGGUCCAGACUCCUACGGGAGGCAGCAGUAGGGAAUCUUCCGCAAUGGGCGAAAGCCUGACGGAGCAACGCCGCGUGAGUGAUGAAGGUCUUCGGAUCGUAAAACUCUGUUAUUAGGGAAGAACAUAUGUGUAAGUAACUGUGCACAUCUUGACGGUACCUAAUCAGAAAGCCACGGCUAACCACGUGCCAGCAGCCGCGGUAAUACGUAGGUGGCAAGCGUUAUCCGGAAUUAUUGGGCGUAAAGCGCGCGUAGGCGGUUUUUUAAGUCUGAUGUGAAAGCCCACGGCUCAACCGUGGAGGGUCAUUGGAAACUGGAAAACUUGAGUGCAGAAGAGGAAAGUGGAAUUCCAUGUGUAGCGGUGAAAUGCGCAGAGAUAUGGAGGAACACCAGUGGCGAAGGCGACUUUCUGGUCUGUAACUGACGCUGAUGUGCGAAAGCGUGGGGAUCAAACAGGAUUAGAUACCCUGGUAGUCCACGCCGUAAACGAUGAGUGCUAAGUGUUAGGGGGUUUCCGCCCCUUAGUGCUGCAGCUAACGCAUUAAGCACUCCGCCUGGGGAGUACGACCGCAAGGUUGAAACUCAAAGGAAUUGACGGGGACCCGCACAAGCGGUGGAGCAUGUGGUUUAAUUCGAAGCAACGCGAAGAACCUUACCAAAUCUUGACAUCCUCUGACCCCUCUAGAGAUAGAGUUUUCCCCUUCGGGGGACAGAGUGACAGGUGGUGCAUGGUUGUCGUCAGCUCGUGUCGUGAGAUGUUGGGUUAAGUCCCGCAACGAGCGCAACCCUUAAGCUUAGUUGCCAUCAUUAAGUUGGGCACUCUAAGUUGACUGCCGGUGACAAACCGGAGGAAGGUGGGGAUGACGUCAAAUCAUCAUGCCCCUUAUGAUUUGGGCUACACACGUGCUACAAUGGACAAUACAAAGGGUAGCGAAACCGCGAGGUCAAGCAAAUCCCAUAAAGUUGUUCUCAGUUCGGAUUGUAGUCUGCAACUCGACUAUAUGAAGCUGGAAUCGCUAGUAAUCGUAGAUCAGCAUGCUACGGUGAAUACGUUCCCGGGUCU